GUUGUCCGGAUUUAUUGGGUUUAAAGGGUGCGUAGGCGGUCUUUUAAGUCAGUGGUGAAAUAUCCCGGCUUAACCGGGAGGGUGGCAUUGAUACUGAUGGACUUGAGUAAAGUUGAGGUUGGCGGAAUUGACGGUGUAGCGGUGAAAUGCUUAGAUAUCGUCAAGAACACCUAUUGCGAAGGCAGCUAACUAAGCUUAAACUGACGCUGGGGCACGAAAGUGUGGGGAUCAAACAGG
rnacentral:rRNA from 1 species